CUUGCGUGAAACUGCCAGCACCAUCUGGUAAGGCUAAAUACUACUGAGAGACCGAUAGUGAACCAGUACUGUGAAGGAAAGGUGAAAAGAAUCUUGAACAAAGAAGUUAAAUAGAACCUGAAACCGUACGCUUACAAGCGGUCGGAGCCUCGUAAUGGGGUGACGGCGUGCCUUUUGCAUAAUGAGCCUACGAGUUACUCCUCAAUGGCGAGGUUAAUUCCUUCAGGGAAGGAGCCGCAGCGAAAGCGAGUCUGAAUAGGGCGUAUAGUCAUUGGGGGUAGACGCGAAACCUGAGUGAUCUACCCAUGGCCAGGAUGAAGGUGCCGUAACAGGUACUGGAGGUCCGAACUGGUAAGCGUUGAAAAGCUUUCGGAUGAGCUGUGGGUAGGGGUGAAAGGCUAAUCAAACUGGGAGAUAGCUCGUACUCCCCGAAAUGUUUUUUGGAACAGCCUUGGAAUAGAGUGUACUAGAGGUAGAGCUACUAAUUGGGUAAGGGGGUGUCAAAGCCUACCGAACUCAGAUAAACUCCGAAUGCUAGAUACAUGUUUUCCAGGAGUGAGCCCUUGGGUGCUAAGGUCCGAGGGCGAGAGGGAAAGAACCCAGACCAUCAGCUAAGGUCUCUAAAUUCAGAUUAAGUUGAACUAACGUGGUCCAAUCGCUAUGACAGCUAGGAUGUUUGCUUGGAAGCAGCAAUUCAUUUAAAGAGUGCGUAACAGCUCACUAGUCGAGCGGUUGGGCGUGGAUGAUAAACGGGCAUCAAAUCUGGUACCGAAGCUAUGGAUUUCCGUGAAAACGGGAGUGGUAGGGGAGCAUUCUAAUUGCGCUGAAGGUGUAACGUGAGUUAUGCUGGAGCGGUUAGAAAAGCCAAUGUAGGCAUAAGUAACGAUAAGGCAGGCGAGAAACCUGCCCUCCGAUAGCCUAAGGUUUCCUGAUCAACGUUAAUCGGAUCAGGGUUAGUCGGGACCUAAGACGAAGCGAAAAGGCGUAGUCGAUGGACAACAGGUUAAUAUUCCUGUACCAGUGGAGAGGGACGGAGCGGUGAAACAUCUACGGGGUGACGGAAGUCCCCGUUGAGCCGAGCCUUCGGGCAAAGCGAAGAUGCGUAAUAGCUUCCAAGAAAAGCUCCCACAUAAGCCCGUACCGCAAACCGACACAGGUAGGCAAGAUGAGUAUUCUAAGGAGCUCGAGUGAAUCACGGUUAAGGAACUCGGCAAAUUAACCCUGUAACUUCGGGAAAAGGGGUGCCCAUAGCGAUAUGGGCCGCAGAGAAAUGGCUCAGGCGACUGUUUAUCAAAAACACAUGGCUUUGCUAAAUCGAAAGAUAAUGUAUAAGGCCUGACACCUGCCCGGUGCUGGAAGGUUAAGAGGGGAUGUUAGCGCAAGCGAAGCAUUGAAUCGAAGCCCCAGUAAACGGCGGCCGUAACUAUAACGGUCCUAAGGUAGCGAAAUUCCUUGUCGGGUAAGUUCCGACCUGCACGAAUGGUGUAACGAUCUGAGCACUGUCUCAACCGUGAGCUCGGUGAAAUUGUGGUAUCGGUGAAGACGCCGGUUAAUCGCAUCGGGACGGAAAGACCCCGUGCACCUUUACUAUAGCUUUGCAUUGACUUUGGGUAAAUAAUGUGU
rnacentral:rRNA from 1 species